UACAAUACAAAGUUUACUUGUUUUGUUUAUUGCCACGAGUAGGCUCUCGGUGUACCGGUUACUUAUACGUAAACCAUUUCUAUGGUUGUUAAAUUACACAUUUAAACCAACUGCACUUUCCCAUGAACAAGAAAGAACAUGUUGAUAAAUUUUACAGCAAUAUCGUUCCUUUAAAACUUACUGAGACACUGCAGCUAAAGCUUAAUACAGAAGGUUGGGGGUUGUUGACCGAAUAUUCACUGGACUCGGUGAAGAUCAACAACUAUAAAGGAAGAGUUUUAUCAUGUGCUACAAUAAGAAUUACAGACACAUCAGGACAAGUCACAUGUUUGGUCAAGGGACCUGACACAGGUCACUUAUUUGGAUUGACUACUACAGAGUGGAAAGAUGUUGAAAGUAUGUGUAACUAUGGAGACCAACUCUUUUAUAGAUAUUUUAAAAAUGGCAUCAAUAAAAGUUGCAGUUAUGAGCAAAAAAUCUUUUAUAACUUUUGUAUGACCAAUCAAAAGAAUGAUGUUCUUGUUGCCAAGUACCGGAGAGGUGUGAAUACAAGAAACAAAUUUAAAAAUGAUUCCUUUCUUGAAAUAUUACAAUUGAGGAAAUGUGAUAAUACUUUGCUAGAUCUCUAUGUUAACCAACUUAGAAAGAAGAACAACUUAGCCAAUUGAUAUAUUUUCAUCUUUAUUUAUUCUAGUAAUAGAAUGAAGUUAUAUGAAAAAAAAAGAUUAAUCACUUCCUUAUCGUUUGAGCUUCUACCAAUUUUAAAUGCAAAUUGUCCUUAAUUUUCCCAUGGUAUGAAUUUUAUAACAUCAUGUCUACUACAAAAAUAUAAUGGAUUUAAUAUGAAA